GGAUGUCGCUCAGUGGUAGGGCAUCUUAUCUGCAUUUAGGAAGUCCCAGGUUCAAGUCCUGGCAUUAGAGCU